rnacentral:lncRNA from 1 species
AUCCGCAGUGGUGACCUACUUUACUAAUUAGUAAGCUGGGUGGCACAAAUUGCUAUUUUAAGACAUUUACGUUUGUAUUUUCGGCACCACCAGUUAACUCCUUGGCUAGUAUAAAUUUGAUAUUAAAAACAUUACAUUUAUCCCUAAAGUAGUCUCAAAACUGUUCAGAAGUUGACUUUGUCCUGAUGACUGUUUAAAUAUUAAGCAGGCAGUGAGUGUAGAAAAUGAUAGUUUUCUGUUUUUCCAAGAAGAUAAAAUGCAAGCUUACUCUAAUCUACUUGACAUAGUCCGGGACCUCUCAGGGAGUAAGUUUUAAAAGAAUAGUAACGGCCUGUAAGAACAAACAGGAAGAGUAAGGUCCUUGUUAAAUCACAGCCACUGUGUUCCAUGUGGUGAAGCCUUGAGAAGUGGGAGCUGAGCUGCCAGCCAUGCCUAAGGAUUGCUAACAGCCCCUUCAAAGGCGGUGACGGGUCUCACUAUCUGCUACUCGCUUCUAGCUCAGUUACUAGAGGAUGCCUCUGAGUUUUACUGCUUCCUGUGUAAUUCAUUGCAGAUCCACCAGGAUGUUUGAUGAUUCUUUUAUUUAGAAUUAGAUGACAGUGCCAAUUAUGAUAUCCUUAUUAUUUGAGGAUUAAUCUUCCAGCAUACAGGAGCGCUAGCUUUGGUUAUUUUUGAGUGUGAUUUUUGGCUCAGUACCCACUUCAAUUUGUAGCAAAUAUUUGGAAAGUGGGUACCCAGGGUUUGGAAAUGCAGGUCUCAGUUUGAGUUAAGAAAUCAUGCUAAGGGGCCAUGGGGGCUCAGAGCUGUGGCCUCCGCCUCAGCUGUCCUUUUCAGCCGAUGGGGCACCUAACCCUGUGGAAAUGGACUGGAAUUGUUGAAUCAUACUUCUGUAAUGUCACACUCUUCCUAGUUCCCAGAAUAAAAGUCUUUUUGUGCUUUUGAUAUAAAUAUAUAUAUACUCUAUAAUAAAAUGUCUGACUAAUUUAUAUGGCAGUGCUCACUGGCUUAUAAGUUUCUUUUAAAUCAGUGACCUAGUCAUUGAAGUUAUUUGUUUUAUUUUUUUCUCUCUUCCUUUUUCUUCUUGUCUGGAGCAUGCUCUGAGUUUCCCUCUGAUACCAAGUGGACAGAAUAGAACACAGUAGAUCCCUGAUUUCACAGAAGUAGCUCUUGACUGACCACCUUCCACUUCACUUCUGCCCAUGACUUGUCUAUGGUCACCCAAGUGGCCGUAGCUUUCAUUUUGUCUUCUAUAAUUUAAAGCUCUUGAUGGCCAAAACAACAACAACAACAACAACAAAAGUAUUAGCAAAGUGAGUAUAUAAUUUUAAAGUUUAUUUUGGUUUUGUUAUCUAAAACAAGAAUUAAGAAAACUUUUUUAAUACUCGGCUGGAACUUUUUUGCCAAAGGAAUCACUAACGGAUGUCAUAAUUUGCACUUAAGGAUGGGAACUUGACCAUUAGCAGGACUUCAGUAUUAAGGUGAUCUAUUAGGCUGUGUGUGGUCGUGCAUGGCUUUAAUCCCAGCGCUUGGGAGGCAGAGGCUGGUUUAUCUUUCCGAGUUCAAGGACAGCCAGAGCUACAUAGAGAGACUGUCUCAAGACAAAAUGACAGUCUUUUGGAGUCCUUCGAUUUCCUUGAUUUGAAAAUGUCCUCUUAGUAUUGAGCUAGCUAUCUCCAGAAAGAAUACUCCUCUCUUUUCUUAAGUAAUAAAGAAUAAUACUACUUAUCAAAUAGAUAACUCAUAUUUCAAGUGAAAAAUUUUUCCCUAAUCUAUGAGAAAUUCAAACUAAUCACUUAAUCAAUGAAAAAUAGUUGACAUCAAAGUUAUUUAACAAAGACUAUUGUGUUUUUUCUUUUAAUUUUUAAUUUACUUUAUUUAUCUGAGUAUACUGUAGUUGUCUUCAAACACACCAGAAGAGGGCAUUGGAUCUCAUUACAGAUGGUUGUGAGCCAUCAGGUGGUUGCUGGGAAUGGAACGCAGGACCUCUGGAAGAGCAGUCAGUCUCUUGACUGCUAAGCCAUCUCUCCAGCUCCCAAAGACUGUUGUUUUAUUUUAAUGAAAUAGCUGAGGGCUUAGAAUGGUUCAGUUGGUAGAGCUCUCGCCUAAGAUUCAAUGAGCCCUUGAUUGCAUCCUCACCACCACAUAAACUGGGCACGGUGGCACAUACCUGCGGCCUUAGUGCUGGGGAUGUGAAGACGGGAGGGUUAGAGGUGCAUAGUUUCCCUCAGCUACAUAGCAAAUUUCACAGCCAGCCUUCUGCCUAGAUGAAACUCUGUCUUAGAAGAAGAGAGACAGAAAGAAAUAGCUGUACUCCAUGUGUCCUAAGAGCUGUUGUUCCAUCGAAUGGUAGUGGAGAACAUACUGAUUAGAAUUAUUGCUCUGAGAUUCGCUUUUAAUUACACCAUCUAUGGUUCUUUCAAAAUUUUUUGCCUAAGAAACUUAUAAUAGCCUUUAAUUUCUCUUCAGAAACAUUAGGCCUUUUUUAGACUAGCAUGCAUAUUAUUGUAAAAGCGAGUAAGAGCGCUUGAGAUGGCUCACUUGGUAAAGGUGCUUGCUGCCAAGCCUGCCAAUCUGUGGGACCUAAAUGGUGGGAAGAGAAAGCCAGCUUCCUCACGCUUCAUCCAACCUUCAUACAUGUGCAGAGCAUACACACACACACACACGAGUUUUAUCUUUACUUUUAAAAAAUGUAUUAAGUAAAUUAACAUGCUUCCCCCGAGAGCACACAUCUCUGUUAAUAAGUGGUCUCCUUAUAGUGGAAAUGCCAGCGAGGUGUUCUCAGAAGAGUCAAGUGAGUUACUGCUCUCAGAGGGAGACACAUUUCAGUUCUUAAGUUGGUGAGGAGCAGAAGUGGUACUUGUCUGGACUGGGGUGGGUUUUUACUUCCCUUUUUCCAGCAUAGCAUCCACAUUUUAGCAAGAAGAUCCUUACAUCCUACAGCAUCCUGAUUCCCCUCUAUAAUGGGUGUUACUGUACGAUUUCAUAGCUUGUCCAGAAAAAAUGGUCUGUCUGGUAUUAGUUGGCUUACAGUGUCAUUUAAUGGGAAAUUACAAAGAGAAUUAAAUUUUGACUAUAGAUUGGUGCUGUAUACAGAGAACCCCAUGAUGUUUAGGGAGCUAUAAAAAGUGGGGCUAUGGGUGGAGAGAUGGCUCAGUGCUUAAAAGUGGUUAAAAAAUUCUGGCUGCUCUUCCAGUGGUCCUGAGUUCAGUUCCCAGCUACCACAUGAUGGCUCACAGCCAUCUACAGUGGGAUCUGACGCCCUCUGCUGGAGUGCAGGUGCACAUGCAGAUAGAGCACUCAUACAUAAAAUUUAUAAACAAAUCUUAAGAACUAUUAAAAAGGAAAAGCCAGCAGGGGCUAGAGAGAUGGCUCAUUGGUUAAGAGCACUUGCUGCUCUGGCAGAGGCCAGAGUUUGAUGUCCAGCGCCCGUGGCUGAUGGUUGACAAGCUCCUGUAACUCCCAUUCCCUCCAACACCCUCCCAUAGCUUCUGCAGGUAUCCAUACAUGCGCACAGAAGCGAAUAAAUAAUAAAAUAUUUUUUCAAAAAAAUUGUAGGGGAAUGCUAAAACCUUACUGGCUUUUACUAAUACUUUUUAAACCCAGCUAGACGAUUUUAAUUGUUUAAAAUAAAGUAAAAUAAAAUUG